AGGGAUGCGUUCGUUCAACCCAUAGCAACUCCAUUCCUGUGAUCUGUCUCCCCCGAAUGCCCACAGCCAGGGCUGGCAUCGAAAGUGCUGCUGCCCAUGCCACAGGCAACCUUGUACUGAACCUUGCUUCUUCUUCAGCUGGACCCAGAUCUGUGGGGGCUACCCCAGGUUCUGCAGGUGUCCUGAAUCGCCCUGGGUCGAAGUUAGGUCUCCUCUGCCAUUGUGUGCUGCCCAGAGCACAAGAAUUCUUAUAGCAGUCCACGGGGCCCCACUAUGGCCCUGGCAAAGGAGUGGCUGUGCAGAAAGAACUGAAUGGAGCACGUCUGCUGCAGAGUCAGAAGCCAAAACCCAAACUCCUUCCUUAGCGAGGGAAAGACGAAAGGAGAAAAAGAGGCAGAAGUCUGAACAGUUCUCCGAUUCUGGGCUAUGGUGAUUUUUUUCCUCUCAUCCAGUGGAGGACUGGGACCAGAGUAGAAGAAGAAAGCCAUCGGGAGGGGACCUCUUCUCUUCUUUUCUGUACAUGGUCAAUCCCCAGCUCCAUCAGCAUAGAUCCUGAAGUGAGGCGGAUAUGAACCAAGCCUAGCCAACCCGUGGUACCCACGUGCAUGCCUGAGAUACUGCAAUAGCAUCCGGUCUCCAGCUUCUUAAAUCUGCAUAAGUGAAUUCGAGGGUUGUGAAAAGUUUGGCAAUAGUAAAAUGUGUAACGACCAAA